AAGCGCUUGUGACCAGACUUGGGCGCGGCGGAUCAUCCGGGGUUCUCUCCGGUGCACUUCGCCGCGUCUAGGCCAGCAUCAGUUCGUCGCGGGGGAAAAAGGUUUCGGGAACGUGGCUCCUCCGGGAGUGUUAUAACCCAGGGUAUAAUACCC
rnacentral:rRNA from 1 species